UGGAUGGAAAAAGUUUCUUUGCAGGAAGCACGAUUAUGCCAACCUU
rnacentral:tRNA from 1 species